GAUGAACGCUGGCGGCGUGCCUAAUACAUGCAAGUCGAGCGAACAGACGAGGAGCUUGCUCCUCUGACGUUAGCGGCGGACGGGUGAGUAACACGUGGAUAACCUACCUAUAAGACUGGGAUAACUUCGGGAAACCGGAGCUAAUACCGGAUAAUAUAUUGAACCGCAUGGUUCAAUAGUGAAAGACGGUUUUGCUGUCACUUAUAGAUGGAUCCGCGCCGCAUUAGCUAGUUGGUAAGGUAACGGCUUACCAAGGCAACGAUGCGUAGCCGACCUGAGAGGGUGAUCGGCCACACUGGAACUGAGACACGGUCCAGACUCCUACGGGAGGCAGCAGUAGGGAAUCUUCCGCAAUGGGCGAAAGCCUGACGGAGCAACGCCGCGUGAGUGAUGAAGGUCUUCGGAUCGUAAAACUCUGUUAUUAGGGAAGAACAAAUGUGUAAGUACCUAUGCACGUCUUGACGGUACCUAAGCAGAGAGCCACGGCUAACUACGUG
rnacentral:rRNA from 1 species